AUGUUUACCCACUGUUUACCACUGUUUACCACUGUUUACCCACUGUUUACCUCUGUUUAUCCCUGUUUACCUCUGUUUACCCACUGUUUACACCUGUUUACCCACUGUUUACUUCUGUUUACCUCUGUUUCCCACUGUUUACCUCUGUUUACCUCUGUUUACCCACUGUUUCCCUCUGUUUACUUCUGUUUACCUCUGUUUACCCCCUGCUUACCUCUGUUUCCCACUGUUUCCCUCUGUUUCCCUCUGUUUACCCUCUGUUUACUUCUGUUUACCUCUGUUUCCCACUGUUUACUUCUGUUUACCGCUGUUUACUUCUGUUUACCCACUGUUUCCCUCUGUUUACUUCUGUUUACCUCUGUUUACCCUCUGUUUACCUCUGUUCCCACUGUUUACUUCUGUUUACCGCUGUUUACUUCUGUUUACCUCUGUUUACCACUGUUUACCCUCUGUUUCCCACGGUUUACUUCUGUUUACCCUCUGUUUACCCACUGCUUACCCACUGUUGACCUCUGUUUACUUCUGUUUACCCACUGUUUACCCUCUGUUUACUUCUGUUUACCCACUGUUUACCUGUUUACCCACUGUUUACCUCUGUUUACCCACUGUUUACCCUCUGUUUACUUCUGUUUACCACUGUUUACUUCUGUUUACCCAGUGUUUACUUUUGUUUACCCUCUGUUUACCCACUGUUUACUUCUGUUUACCCUCUGUUUACCCACUCUUUACCUCUGUUUACCCACUGUUUACCCACUAUUUACCUCUGUUUACCUUCUGUUUACCACUGUUUACCUCUGUUUACUUCUCUUUACCCUCUGUUUACCACUGUUUACUUCUGUUUACCUCUGUUUACUUCUGUUUACCCACUGUUUACCCUCUGUUUACUUCUCUUUAACCUCUGUUUACCACUGCUUACCUCUGUUUACCACUGUUUACCUCUGUUUACCCUCUGUUUACUUCUGUUUACCACUGUUUACUUCUGUUUACCACUGUUUACCUCUGUUUCCCACUGCUUACCCUUUGUUUACUUCUGUUUACCUCUGUUUCCCACUGCCUACCCACUGUUUACCUUUGUUUACUUCUGUUUCCCACUGCUUACCCUUUGUUUACUUCUGUUUCCCACUGCUUACCCUCUAUUUACCCACUGUUUACCUUUCUUUACCUCUGUUUCCCACUGCUUACCCUUUGUUUACUUCUGUUUACCACUGUUUACCUCUGUUUCCCACUGCUUACCCUUUGUUUACUUCUGUUUACCACUGUUUCCCACUGCUUACCCUUUGUUUACCUCUGUUUCCCACUGUUUACCUCUGUUUACCCACUGCUUACCCUUUGUUUACUUCUGUUUCCCUCUGUUUCCCACUGCUUACCCUUUGUUUACUUCUGUUUACCUCUGUUUCCCACUGCUUACCCUUUGUUUACUUCUGUUUCCCUCUGUUUCCCACUGCUUACCCUUUGUUUACUUCUGUUUACCACUGUUUACCUCUGUUUCCCACUGCUUACCCUUUGUUUACUUCUGUUUACCACUGUUUACCUCUGUUUCCCACUGCUUACCCUUUGUUUACUUCUGUUUACCACUGUUUCCCUCUGUUUCCCACUGCUUACCCUUUGUUUACCACUGUUUACCUCUGUUUCCCACUGCUUACCCUUUGUUUACUUCUGUUUCCCUCUGUUUCCCACUGCUUACCCUUUGUUUACUUCUGUUUACCACUGUUUCCCUCUGUUUCCCACUGCUUACCCUUUGUUUACUUCUGUUUACCACUGUUUCCCUCUGUUUCCCACUGCUUACCCUUUGUUUACUUCUGUUUACCACUGUUUACCUCUGUUUCCCACUGCUUACCUAACCCUAGCAGUCGCAGGUCUGUCCAGCCUCCUCGGUGUCCUCGC
rnacentral:lncRNA from 1 species